UGAAAACAUCACAUUCUGGUUGAUUUCAUUUACAUGAAUUUCUAGAAGUAGUAAUUUAACACAAUAUGAUAGAAAUUCCAGUUGUGGUUGCCUCAGAUGGCGGGGGUGGGAGGAAGACACGGAGAGGAAGUGACUGCAAAGAGGCACAGGAGAACUUCCUGAGGUUAUGAAGAUUUCCUGUAUCUGGUCUAGCAUAGUGGUUAUGUGUCCGGAAUUGGUGGGUUCUUGGUCUCACUGACUUCAAGAAUGAAGCCGCGGACCCUCCCAGUGAGUGUUACAGCUCUUAAGGUGGCGCGUCUGGAGUUUGUUCCUUCUGAUGUUCGGAUGUGUUUGGAGUUUCUUCCUUCUGGUGGGUUCGUGGUCUCCCUGGCUCAGGAGUGAAGCUGCAGACCUUUGCCGGGUUACAGCUCUUAAGGCGGCGCCUCUGGAGUUGUUCGUUCCUCCUGGUGGGCUCGUGGUCUCGCUGGCUCAGGAGUGAAGCUGCAGGCCUUCCCGGUGCUGAUAAUGUAUUGGAAUCUGAUGCCGGCAAGACAGGAUUCUAAAGACAAAAUAGGAGGGCCCAGCAUCAUGAGACCAUGCGCGCAUGAUUUCUACUGUCUGCUAUGACAGUUUCUUCCAGAACAUUAAAGAUUCUAUCACAAGUUUUGUCCUCAGAAGCUGCCAACUUCCUCUUAAAAAAUAAACAAAAACAAAAAUCCUCUGGAAUUCUCAUCCAUUUUGGAAAAAUUUAUAAUUGAAAGUCUGUUGAAGAAAUGUUCAAUUUCUUCUUUCUGAUGUUCUUUCGUACUAAUUUCACUCCCUGAAUAGUAAAUAGAGACUUCCUCCUCAUGAGAGCAAUUACGAAACUUGUUAUAAACACACAAGUGACUUGUAAAAAUAAUGUACACAUUAAAGAUAACUUAACUUCCUAAAAGACAUUUGAAAAGGUCUUCUGAAAACAUUAAGGGAUGAGGAGGUAAUGAAAAUGCAGGAGAUCUUUGAUGAUAAUGUUGUUUGCUAGAGAACGGUAUGAAAUAGAAGUCAGGACAAUGUCAGAGAGAACAUUAUUUACUGAAAUCUGAAAACAACUUCAUUGCAACACUGAGAAAGUUUCAUUUUUAGGUUCCAUAACCCAGUGUGAUCAGAGGAUAUUUGGAUAUUGAAGGAACAGGAAAUAAAGCAGAGUCAUUACUGAGUCUGCUUACCUGAUGAAAAAUUUUACACCACUGCCACAAAAAUGAAGUUCAUAUCUACAUAUCCAAAGUAAGUUUUAGCAAGGAGCAGAAUUGAAUAUUUCAUUCAAUCCAUUAUUCAACAAAUAUUCCCUACCCUGUGAUCAUUUUAUUUUAUUGAUUGGGAAUAAUAUUAAUCACUUAAAAUAUAUGUACUUUGAAUUCAGACAGACCUGGACUUCUGCUCUAGUUCUACCUUAUACUAAUAAUAGCUGGAUCUUGGGUACAUGUGGAGGGUUGAAUUAUUUGCACCAAUAAUUUAUCUAUCUGUAUCUAUACCCUGUGCCAAGCUGCCUUUUGUCCCGGUAGAGAUGAAAUAUAUCACUGUUUUCCACUGAUGUUGGACUAUAGCAUGUGUCUGUCAUUGGCCGAUGGAUAUUAACAUUUGUGAUACAAGCAGAAGUUUGACAUGUGCUUAACAUGGUUGAAAUGGUUUGGCUUGCCUUUUCAUACUUCUGUUACCACCAAGAGAAGAAUAUUCCUCUCCUAGCCCACUGUCCAAAGAAAGAUGCUACAGAAUAGAGCUGGAUUCAGUCUGCAGCUUAACCAAGCCCAGCCUAGAGCAGUUGCCUCUCAGGUAAUCCCCAGCUAACUGACAAAUGCAUGAGAGAAAAUAAAUGUUUUAAGCCAUUGAACUUUUGAAGUUGUUUGCUAUGCAGCAGUUGUAACUGAUACAGCAUGUAACUCAAUCAUUCUUAGGCCCAGUUUCUACAUCUGAGUAAAAUAGUUUCCAAAAUGAGAACAAUAGAAAUACAUAAUACAUAGGAUUACUAUCAUAAUUAUUGAUGCUUUAAACACAUAUGUGUAAACACUGAAAACAUUAGUUGCAUUUCUAUAUACUAACAAUGAAUACAUAGACAUUAAAAUUAAAAAUACAAUAAUAUUUACAUCACUCAAAAAAAUUUAACUGUAAAUUUACCAAAAAUGUAGAGGACUUGUAUGCUGAAAACUACACAAUGUUUAUGACAGAAAUCACCUAAUAUCUAAAUAAAUGGAGAGACAUGGUAUUCAUGAAUUGGAAGACCAAAAAUUAAUAAAGACAUGCAUUCUACCCAAAAUGAUAUACAGUUUUAAUGUAACUCCUAUCAAAUUCCUUUGGAUAUGAACAAGACUGUUUUAAAAUUUAUAUGGAAAUAUACAAAAUAGAAAAGCCAACAAAAGUGAAAAAGAGGAAUAAAAUAGGAAGACUCUGUCUACCUAAUUUCAAGAGGUAUAAUAUAGCAACAGCAGUCAAGACUGCAGGAUAUUUGUGCAGAGACAAACACACAGAUAAAUUGAACAGCACACAGGAACCAGAAAUAGACCAAUACAAACAUGCCCAAAACAAAUUUGACAAAAGUACAAUUCAAUUGAGGAAAGAUAGAUUUCAACAAAUAGUGCUAGAGCAAGUGGAUAUCCAUAGACAAAGAAGAAGAAAAAAAGAAGCUUGGUCUAAGUCUCACAUUUCAAGCAAAAAUUAACUGAAAAUGGAGAACAGACUUAUAUUCAAGAUGUAAAACUGUAAGCCAAAGCAAAAUAGGAAAAAAUUUUCAGAAUCUAAGGCUAGAAAAAAGGCACACCAAAAGCACAAUCUAUAUAAGUGAAACUAAAUCAAUUGUACUUUAUCAAAAUUAAAAAUAUUUUGCUCUGUCUGUAAAAAAAUAAAUACACAAAUCCCUUAAGAGGAUGAAAAGAUAAGCUAUAGAGUAGGAAAAAAUAUUUGUUAACCACAUGUAUGACAAAGGUCUAGUAUCUAGAAUAUAUACACACUCUCAAAACUAAAGUUAAAAAAAUUGGAUAAUAAAAUGGGAAAAGACAUAAAGAGAUAUUUUACUGAAAGCAUACACGAAUGGCAAAAAUGUACAUAAAAAGAUAUUCAACAUCAUUAUCACUGGGAAAAUGCAAGUUGAAAACCACAUAUAUAUUUGUACACACAUAUCAAAUAGCUAAUAUAUAUAUACCACUAGUAUAUACAUUGUCACUAGUGUAUAUAUACACACACACACACACAUAUUAUAUAUAUAUAUACACACACCACUGGUAUAUAUAUUGCCACUAGUGUGUGUGUAUAUAUAUAUGUGUAUAUAUAGAUCAUAUAUAUGAAUAUAUAUAAUAUAUAUUUUAUAUAUUAGUGGCAAUUUCAAAUGCUGGCAAGGAUGCAGAGAAAUUGGAUCACUUACAUUUUGCUGUUGGGAAUAUAAAAUGGUACAGUCACUUUGGGAAACAGUUUGGAGGCUUCUUGAAAAAACUAAACACUACUCAGCAACUGUAUUCUUGCACAGUUAUCCCAGAGGAGUAAAUGCUCACAGAAAAAUCUGUACAAAAUUAUUUAUAGCAGCUUUAUUUAUAAUAGACAAAAACUGGAAAUAACUCCAGAUGGCCUUCAACAGGUGAACAAGGAACAAACUGUGGUACAUUCACACUGCCAACUACUUCUCAGCAAUAAAAGGAAAAUAACUAUUGAUACAUGUAAGAAGCUGGACGAAUCUCUAGAGAAUUAGGCUGAGUGAUAAAAAAAGCCAAUCACCAAAGGUCACAUACUGUAUGAUUUCAUUUUCUUAACAUUUUUGAAAUGACAAAAUUAUAGGAAUGGAGAACAGAUAAGGGAUUGCCAGGGCCUGGGAUUGGCAGAGAGUGAAGUGUGGGUGACUAUAGAGAGCAGCAUGAGGGAAUUUUGUGGCAAUGGCAAUGUUCUGUAUCUUGACUGUCUCAGGGCCAAUAUCCUGUUUGUUACAAUGCAGUGUAAUUUUCCAAGAUGUUGCCUUUGGAGAAAACUUAGAAAAUGUAUCUAUAAUCACUCUGUAUCAUUUUAUCACUGCAUAUGAGGCAG
rnacentral:lncRNA from 10 species